CCUACGGGUGGCUGCAGUGAGGAAUAUUGGUCAAUGGGCGCGAGCCUGAACCAGCCAAGUAGCGUGAAGGAUGACUGCCCUGCGGGUUGUAGACCUCUUUUAUAAAGGAAUAAAAUGACGCACUCGUGCCGUUCUGUAUGUACUUUAUGAAUAAGCAUCGGCUAACUCCGUGCCAGCAGCCGCGGUAAUACGGAGGAUCCGAGCGUUAUCCGGAUUUAUUGGGUUUAAAGGGUGCGGAGAUGGGUUGUUAAGUCAGCUGUGAAAGUUUGGGGCUCAACCGUAACAUUGCAGUUGAUACUGGCAGUCUUGAGUGCAGUUGAGGUAGGCGGAAUUCGUGGUGUAGCGGUGAAAUGCUUAGAGAUCACGAAGAACUCCGAUUGCGAAGGCAGCGUACUAAGCUGCCACUGACAUUGAUGCACGAAAGCGUGGGGAUCGAACAGGAUUAGAUACCCCUGUAGUC
rnacentral:rRNA from 1 species